rnacentral:rRNA from 1 species
UACGUAGGUGGCAAGCGUUGUCCGGAUUUACUGGGCGUAGAGAGCGCGCAGGCGGUCGUUCAAGUCGCGUGUGAAAGCCCCCGGCUCAACUGGGGAGGGUCACGCGAUACUGAUCGACUCGAAGGCAGGAGAGGGUAGUGGAAUUCCCGGUGUAGUGGUGAAAUGCGUAGAUAUCGGGAGGAACACCAGUGGCGAAGGCGACUACCUGGCCUGUUCUUGACGCUGAGGCGCGAAAGCGUGGGGAGCAAACAGG